rnacentral:rRNA from 1 species
AGGGGUUUGAUCAUGGGGGCUCGGAAUGAACGUUGGCGGCGUGGAUUAGGCAUGCAAGUCGAGCGAGAACUGGUGAACGGCGGCUUCGGCCAAAGUGAUCCAGGGAAAGCGGCAAACGGGGUAGUAAUGCGUAGGUAACGUACCCCAAGGACCGGGAUAGCCUCGGGAAACUGAGGGUAAUACCGGAUAAUCUCUCAGGGCGUGAUGUCCUGGGAGCAAAUGGUGUGAUUCCUCCUUGGGAGCGGCUUAUGUGGUACUAGGUUGUUGGUGGGGUAAUGGCCUACCAAGUUGCCUAUGAUGCCUAGGGGGUGUGAGAGCAUGGCCCCCACCACUGGGACUGUGACACUGCCCAGACACCUACGGGUGGCUGCAGUCGAAAAUCUUCCGCAAUGGGCGCAAGCCUGACGGAGCGACGCCGCGUGCGGGAUGAAGGCCCUUGGGUUGUAAACCGCUGUCAGAGGGGAUGAAAUCGUUGGGGGCUAUCCCCCUUCGUUGACAAAGCCUCAGAGGAAGCGCGGGCUAAGUUCGUGCCAGCAGCCGCGGUAAUACGAACUGCGCAAACGUUAUUCGGAAUCACUGGGCUUAAAGGGUGCGUAGGCGGCUCGCCAAGUAGGGUGUGAAAUCUCUCGGCUCAACCGGGAAAUUGCGCUCUAAACUGGCUUGCUCGAGUGCGAUAGGGGUGUGCGGAACUUCUGGUGGAGCGGUGAAAUGUGUUGAGAUCAGAAGGAACGCCGGUGGCGAAAGCGGCACACUGGGUCGUAACUGACGCUGAGGCACGAAAGCUAGGGUA